CAGCCACACACAGCUCUGCUGAAACGCCAGCGCCUUCAGCUGCUGCUGAGCCCACAGAAGCACCACAGCCACUGCCCGCUUGCGAGGUACAGAGGAAAUCCUCGUGCAGACAAAGCCCCUUUUAUGCUGCCAUAACCUGGUUUACGUUGAGCAGACCAUUUGCCAGCACAAGUAAUACCAAAUUUCUCCCAUUUUAUCAUGAGAAGCUUGAAAAAUCUGUAAGGAACUGGAUAGCUGAGGUCUCAAGACAUCUGCCGAGAUGGAAAGUCAACUGCCUUUUUCCUUUGCAAGUCAGACAUUCUUCCAGCAAGUUGACACAAAACACAGUGAUUAAUGAAACCAUGUGCUUUUAGAAAAUUAUUUUUCUUCCCCAGUCUAUCUCAAUUCCUUAGUCCCAUACCUGUUCCCAAGGGACAUACUGUGACUUCGGGCUUAUCUCCCUUCCACUCUCCUGUUAUGCUGAAAAACAAUACAAAAAGUUGCUGUGCUCUUUCACACUGGCUUGAUAUUCAUCAGCAAGGCUGAAUUAAGUCAGUUGUAAUUAUAGCAUGGAGCAAGUCAGGAGGAGAAGAAAGGAGACUCUGGAGAGCCAAGAUUCCAGAGCACUGUUUUGUUACCAUUCCCAGCAUCCUGCAUGGGUGGCUGUGUCCCUAUCCUUUGUCUCACACCCAAAAGUAUCACUGAAAGUGGAAGAUCUCCAUGAAAACGUCAGUAAGGAGCAGUCCAGGAAUCCUGGAAUAUUCCCUCCUGAUUCAACCAGUCCUUUUCAUUAUGGAGAAAAAGAUCUAUGCUGGAUUUUUCUCUCCAGUCGUUCUUAUCCUCACAGUUUUUCUUGGAUUCAGCUGCAUGGGUCACUGCUAAAACUGUAAUUGCAAAAGGUAGCAAUGAAUUCUCUGAAAACCUGAACAUUUAAAUAACUGCAGCUUCCCUAACCAGCCCUGCUCCAGGAAGGUUCCAUCCUACCCAGAUUUCACCCCAAAACCCACCUCGACCAUGACAGCCACGUGGCAACAGCUGAGGGAGGUUUCCUGGAUCUGUGCCCACCUGGAAGCCACAAAGUGGCUCCAAAGGCACAGCAGAAACUUUUCAGGGAGUUUUCCUCCUCCUCUCCACACUACAAAUACCUCCCUCUCUCAGCAAAUUUUACAAUGCCCAGAAUAGAACCUUGCUGAAAAUAAGUUUCUGUUGUGCUGCAAAACACUGCUGUGGAGUCAGUGACUUCAGUGUUUGGGUAUUACAAACAGACAGGGGCAGAUCCACAGUUUAACCAGUGAACAGCUUGGAAUCCCCUCUGCUGAAAGGUGAUUUCACCAUGGAAGAAGGUAUCCACUGUCAGAUGGUUUAGUGAUAACCUUCUGCUAAAUAAGGGAAUUCAGGGAGCUGCGGAAAAAAGGGGAGGAGAAAGGAUAUAAAUUUGUAUUUUCAUCACAUCUUGAGUUCCCUACUUCAGGUAAGAAGAGAUCAAGCUAUUUCCAUUGGAAACCCUGGCCCUAAAGGCCUCUGGUUAUAAUUACACAUCUUGUUUCAUUAUGACAACUGGAUAAAUUAUAUAUUCACCAACAGUUGAGCUUUGGAAUGAACAACAAGCAUAGGGGGCAGUUAAAAGGAGAAAAGAGAGGUGCAUUAUCCCAGAUACAGCUCCUCAAACUCGGGAUUGGACAAGACUAGCCAGAAUUACAUGAAGUUUCCCUAAAACUGGGACUGCAGUUGGCCCUAAAGCUCCACAGACUCUGGCCUAUCACUGUGUCUCAGGCACCCAGACGUGAGUGUGUUUGCUGAUAAAUUACAACACCUCUUGGAAACCCUGGAAAUUACUUGUCGUGCCAAGCUAUGGUUUCAUUUUUAACCAGUAAACUUCUAAAUUUCACCCCUCCAAAAUCAAAACAUAGUCUCAAAAUUCCUCACAUGCCAAACCUACUCUUCUCCCCACCUUAUUCCAGGAGCUGCUGGCAGAAAAUGAACCUAAACCCCAUGGAAUUUAUACAAGUGGAAAAGUGUACGUGCAGUGGGACUGGAUGCACCACAGCUCUGUGCAGACUGGCAGGCAACCUCUAACCUAUUUAACUGGAGUCUGAAAAAAGAUAAUUUUUAUUUGGCUGGACUGAAACAGAUCUGGAUGUAUACAACUGAGGCACAUUGUAACGAAUGCAAACACUGCAGACUCAUUUCAUAGCUAUGCCUAGUCCAAAUUAAUCUGAAUUCAAAUCCAAACUAGGUGGUGAAAUAGGAUAAAAUGCAGCUGCAGAUCUUCUCCUUCAGCACACACGUACAAAGAGCCACACAGACGUCACACCCGACAUGGUGUGGGAAGAUCUGCCCUCCCAGGCUGCAGAAAUACUUAGAAAUUAGUCAGCAGUUAAAAAAAGGUCCAGGAUGUUGAGUACAAACCUGAGGACUGGUUUUGUUCCUGAGAUUACAAAAGAUAGCGCGAUAAAAAAGUGAGUUUAUUUAUGGUUACCUUUAGUCACCUUAUCUGUGGACAAGGGAAAAUACCCCACUCUCACCUGAAGGAAGUUAAUACAGGUGGAACUUUGAGAGCGACUUUGAAGUUGUACUCUGAAAGCAUUUCCAUAAAUAUUAUUCUUGUGCCAAUCUCCAUUUAGCACGGAAGUAUUUGAAAUUCAGAAUUGCUUACACGCAGCCCUGGAGAAGAGCUUGAAAACUGAGGGAAAGUUCGAGCCUUAGCACCCAGUGUGUGCCAGCAGGAUGAGCAUGAACUCUCUACAGCAUUCAUGGGACAGAUGUUGUGGAAAAGUCCAUUUCCAACCAUCUGCAGUGUUUGUUUCCAGGGCUGGAAGCUUCUACAUGGGUUCCUUCACUAGCAUCCUUGUUUGACUGCUGUGCCUCUCUCCCUCCAGUCUCAAUCUCCUCAGAACAUUAAGAACUGAGAAAUCGAAAAAAAAGCAGCCUGAAAUGUGGGCUUUAUUCAAACAGAAACAUGAACAAACCCAGCAGCCAUCUGGUCCCAUGGUUUUGGUUGCUGAGUUGAGGGGCCACAUCCUGAGGAGAUUCUGCAAGACCUCACACAGGGGCUCACAAACCCUUCAAGUAAACAUUUGUCUCUGGGAACUAAAGCCAUGAUCCAAAAAAAGGUAAUUCUCCUUUACUGCCACAUCUCUAUACAUCAGUCAUGGCAGAACAUUGAAGUUCUUUGUCAAUCCUUUUAAUCACCUGUGUGCAGCACCACCAGAGGCAGGACAGGCAUCCUUGGAUGGCAGAGCCCUCCUAAACUCACCCAAUUCACGGGAUCAAACAAAGUGCAGAACGUGGAAUCCCAGUGGGAUCCAACCCAGAGGAUGUGUUUUUACAGAAGACUGAGAGGACAGGAGGGAAGGAAAGCUUCAGGCAGGGACCUGCAUCUCCUGCAUGCCCUACCUUUGUCACAGAGGGGAGAUUUCCCAUAUAUGGCCCAAGGCAGCAGGGUCACAUUGCAGUGCAGGCUUCUGGCAAGCCCAGACAUUCAGACACCAUGAGUCAGUGCUCCAGAAAUCACUCGGGUUUAGAAACCAUCAAAUCUGCUUUUGGUUGGGUUUUUUAAUUCACCUUCAGUUGGGGUUUUUCCUUCAACCUCUGCACCAUCCCAUUUUCAUUUUGCUCCUCUGUAACUGGCAGGAGCAUUUCUUUCGAUUCUGGGGUUGUUUUGCUUUGUAAAAUGACAGACAAGAUUUUCAUGUUAAACUAAAUCCUGGUGUCAGGGCAUGAAAAAUAAAACCAGACCAACUAUCAUGGAGUUUGGGAACAUACUAAGCUGUCUUGUACUUUCACACAGCUCUCUAACAACAAAGAAUACUUAUUUUUAAAAUAAAACCUCAAAACAUGUUCACUUCUGUCCUCAGAUCCCAAACAACCAUUUAUCUGGCAUUUCAGCACAACCAGACAGGACUGCUGCCAGUAAGAAGUUCCCUAUGACACAAUCUUUUCCACCACUGACCUGAUAACAUCAGCAUGACCUUUCUUCUCUUUUGAACUCUACUUUUCCCAGUUCAAUAGUUCAGCAGAAACUGAUCCAUUUUUGAUUACACAAACAAAAUCAGAUACCAGAUAGUCCUAUUAAAAAAAAAUUCCAAAUUUCAAAAUAUAUCAUUGGGUAAUUAUUUUCAGAUUAGUAAUGGGAUAAAUAAUGUGGGAAAAUUCAGGGUGAGGAUUUUUAGUUUCAGUUUCCAACUCUGUGAGUCUGGGCCACUUCAGUUCUCUGUGCCGGAGUUUUCCAUAAGCAAAAUACAGAUAAUGCCCCAUCAGGGAAUGGAAUCAAUAUUUCAUUUCUUUAAAGCAGUACUGUACUCAUAAUGGAAUUAAAUACUUUGAGAGAACUGCAGAGCUCAUAGAAAUGAGACACUUAAGGGAAGAAAUGCCUCCUUGCAAUUCUGCAGAGCAUCCUAACAAUUCUACAACACGUAAUAUAAACAGGACAA